rnacentral:SRP_RNA from 1 species
GCCAGGCAUGGUGGCGCAUGCCUGUAAUCCCAGCUACUCAGGAGGCUGAGGCAGGAGAAUCACUUGAACCUGGGAGGUGAAGGCUGCAGUGAGCCGAGAUCUGGCCACUGCAUUCCAGCCUGGGCAACAGAGUGAGACUCUGUCUCAA